rnacentral:ribozyme from 1 species
UGCCCAGCCACUCCUAUCCCUACCUCCGCGUGGUACCGGCUGGAAACUAUGAGAAACCUUAGGGAAGAUCGGGUAACCAACCCCGGUGGGAACUUUGGUUGACAGGGAAGG